rnacentral:rRNA from 1 species
UACAGAGGUCUCAAGCGUUGUUCGGAUUCAUUUGGGCGUAAAGGGGUGCGAGUAGGCGGCGGCGGUAAGUCGGGUGUGAAAUCUCGGAGCUUAACUCCGAAACUGCAUUCGAUACUGCCGUGCUUGAGGACUGGAGAGGAGAUUGGAAUUCACGGUGUAGCAGUGAAAUGCGUAGAUAAUCGUAAGGAAGACCAGUGGCGAAGGCGGGUCUCUGGACAGGUUCCUGACACUGAGGCACGAAGGCCAGGGGAGCAAACGGG